GUGAGAGUGCUGUGUGUGAGAGUGUUGUGUGUUGUGAGUGCUGGGUGUGAUAGUGCUGUGUGUGAUGUGUGUGAGAGUGCUAUGAUGUGUGUGAGAGUGCUGCGUGUGAUGUGUGUGAGAGUGCUGGGUGUGAGAGUGCUGGGUGUGAUGUGUGUGAGAGUGUUGUGUGAGUGCUGAGAAUGCUGAGUGUGAUAGUGCUGUGUAUAAAUGUUGUGUGUUGGGG